rnacentral:rRNA from 1 species
GACGAGGGACCUAGCGUUGUUCGGAAUCAUUGGGCGUAAAGAGUAUGUAGGCGGCCUUGUAAGUCAGUUGUGAAAGCCCCGGGCUCAACCCGGGAAGUGCAAUUGAUACUGCUUGGCUUGAAUGUGGAAGAGGGUAGUAGAAUUCCAGGUGUAGUGGUGAAAUACGUAGAUAUUCGGAAGAACACCAGUGGCGAAGGCGGCUCACUGGCCCGGUACUGACGCUCAUGUGCGAAAGCGUGGGGAGCAAACAGG